CAAACCGGAGGAAGGUGGGGAUGACGUCAAAUCAUCAUGCUCCUUAUGACCUGGGCUACACACGUGCUACAAUGGACGGUACAACGAGUCGCGAAGUCGUGAGGCCAAGCUAAUCUCUUAAAGCCGUUCUCAGUUCGGAUUGUAGGCUGCAACUCGCCUACAUGAAGUUGGAAUCGCUAGUAAUCGCGGAUCAGCAUGCCGCGGUGAAUACGUUCCCGGGCCUUGUACACACCGCCCGUCACACCAUGAGAGUUUGUAACACCCAAAGUCGGUGAGGUAACCUUUUGGAGCCAACCGCCUAAGGUGGGACAGAUGAUUAGGGUGAAGUCGUAACAAGGUAACC
rnacentral:rRNA from 1 species